UACGUAUGGGGCGAGCGUUGUCCGGAUUUAUUGGGCGUAAAGAGCUCGUAGGCGGCUUGGUAAGUCAGGUGUGAAAACUCCGAGCUCAACCCGGAGACGCCACUUGAUACUGCCAUGGCUUGAGUCCGGUAGGGGAUCACGGAAUUCCAGGUGUAGCGGCGAAAUGCGCAGAUAUCUGGAGGAACACCAGUGGCGAAGGCGGUGAUCUGGGCCGGUACUGACGCUGAGGAGCGAAAGCGUGGGGAGCAAACAGG
rnacentral:misc_RNA from 1 species